rnacentral:SRP_RNA from 2 species
GCCAGGCAUGGUGGUGCAUGCCUGUAGUCCCAGCUACUCAGGAGGCUGAGGCAGGAGAAUUGCUUGAACCCAGGAGGCAGAGAUUGCAGUGAGCCGAGAUCGCGCCACUGCACUCCAGCCUGGGUGACAGAGCGAGACUCCGUCUCAA